UGGGAAAAAAAUAAUUUUGAUAUAUAAAGAUUAAUAGGAAAGAUCUUAUAUUAAAAAAAAAAUGGAAGCGUGAAAGAUUGAAGAAAAUGAUUUAAAAGAGAAUGGAAUGGAAAUGGUAGCUGUUGAAUACGUUUGCCAUUGUGGGCUGUGUUGGAGAGGAGGACUGGAGGAGUAGGAGGAGGAGCAGUGGAGGAAUAUUGACGAAGUUGGUGAGUUCGUGUGGACGCGAUGUGAGUGAGAGUGGGGGAGGAGAGUUGUGUUCUAAUUGGAGCCUUGUAGGUGAGUAGUUGC
rnacentral:lncRNA from 1 species